ACUCAGUGUUUCAUAUGCUCCCAAGAACACCUCAGUGUCCAUCAGUCCAUCAGGUCUGGUGUCAGCAGGUAGCUGGGUGAACCUGACCUGCUCCAGCAGAGCCAAGCCUCCUGUGAGCCGCUUCACCUGGUUCAAGACCAGCAGAGAUGGACCAAUCAAAGUAUCUGAAGGAGACUUUUACAGCUUCAUAGUCACUGAUGGAGGAGUUUAUUACUGUGUGGCCACCAAUCAGCUUGGUAAUCAAACAUCCUCAGAGAUCCAUCUGAGUACAGCAGGUGGAGUUAAUGAUCUACCAUUGGGAUCAGUUCUUGGAGGAAUCAUUGGGAUCAUCGUGCUCAUCGGCCUGGUUGUUUCUGUUUGGUCAGUAGCAUAAUUAUGAAAUGUGGUCUUUUUUUUGGUACUCUGUGUAUUAGACCCAACGUUUUGUCUUGCAGGCGUUUGAAGUCACCACAUCCAACUGCAGAGACAGUGACAACAGAAGAAGAAGGCGUCCACUAUGGAGAGAUUAACUUCUCGAGGCUCGGACCUGGACCGUCCUCUGUCCCUGAGCAGGACAGUGGACAGCAGCAGGAUACGCUGUAUGCGCAGGUCAAAGUGUCCCAGGCAGCAGACAACGUCACACGGACUGCUGACGUCCCCGAGGAUCUCUACGCUCAAGUGAAGACAAAAUGAGCCUUUUCCUCUGGUUACAUUUGUGUUGGAUUCUUCACAUGCUUUUUACAAACAUAACAAAAAACGAGCUUCAUCUGUUGAUUUAUGGAGAAAAAUAACCGUGAGAAAAUGUAAUCUUCACUGUUCACAGUUAAAGGGGAACUUCAAACCUCCACAGCCUUUAUACUUUUAACACAGUGAGGUUUGUGUUUAUCAGAUCAGUACAAAUUAAAGUCCCGUGGCUCUAAAUAGAGAAGUAGUCUAAAAGACAGCGCUCUUUAUAUGUCAACAUGUACAAUGAUAACAUUUGACCUUUUUGAUGUUUGUGGAAUUUUUACUUUGUUGUAUUUUCAAAGUUUCUUUAAACCUCCUUUAUUGAGCCAUUCAGUUCUUUUACAUCAACCACGUUUUAUUGUACUUUUUCCUCUUCAAAAUCAUUUACUGCAUAUGUAUUCAUUGCAAUGUAAUAAAAACCAUAUACACAACUUAAUCCCACUAGCAUUAUAUGGUCCAUAAUUUCACAUGUCUGUAAACAGCUUUUGAAAAUCUUUCUACUUAAAUCACAAACAUUCUAGCAGUGGCAGAACGAAUUAUAUGUAACAAUUGUGUGUAAAACUUUUCUGAAAAGAUAAUCUUUGGAUUUCAGCCUAAAAACAUUAUCAGCCCAAACGUUGAGUAAAUAAACAUCUCAAAAGGCACAACAAGGUUGUGUUGACUGUGUUUCAGUGAAUGGAGGCAGUGGCAUUAGCUUCAAACACCUCGAAUAUGACUUACGGAGAACAAAUUCCUUAAA